GCUAGUCUACGUGUGUUCAAAUGUCACUAAGCUCUAUAAUCAAAAUAGGAAAAAGAAACAAAAUUAUUCAGAUUUCUUUGAAACUUUUUAUAUAUUGUAGACUGAAGUGUGUUUAAAUAUUUGAUUGACUUCAAAUCUGACCAAUAUUUUUGGUGCUUAAUCAACGAUCAGUGGAAUCUGUUUUUGUGGAGUCAUCUUCAGCAAUCAGUUUCGGUAUACCAAGAUGGCCGGAGGAACAAUUUUCCUGUGUGGUUGUGAAUAUUAAGUUUUUCUCCUUGAUCGGGCAGUUGGAAGUAAAUUAAAAUAGCCGUGAUUGAAGUAAUUCAGUCCUGCGGUAGUGACCAAAACGUAUUAGAAACGCCGGAAACAUUUUUCGCCGUCCGGAAUGGCGAUUUAUUGACCGACCCUAAAAGUAAGAUUCCUCCAGGAGGACGAUGAGAUUUAAAGCGAUGAAAAGGCCGACGUAUGGAUAGUUUCCACCCAGCAUCCGGCAAAAUUCCCAUGAGGCAGGGGAUCUUAAAAUGGACACCAAACAAGAUGAACCAUACGCUAGAACAAAGGAGUCCGGGAACACGAUGGGAAGAUGAGUAUGAGAGUGUACAUUUCAAAUUAGUAUUAUCCAAAGUGAAUAACAUGUUAUUUUAAUGACGAACAUGAUGAUAAAAUAAAUAAAUGGGAUAUAGUUUGUUUUAUUCUA